rnacentral:rRNA from 1 species
GGGUUGUGAGGUUAAGCGACUAAGCGUACACGGUGGAUGCCCUGGCAGUCAGAGGCGAUGAAGGACGUGCUAAUCUGCGAUAAGCGUCGGUAAGGUGAUAUGAACCGUUAUAACCGGCGAUUUCCGAAUGGGGAAACCCAGUGUGAUUCGUCACACUAUCAUUAACUGAAUCCAUAGGUUAAUGAGGCGAACCGGGGGAACUGAAACAUCUAAGUACCCCGAGGAAAAGAAAUCAACCGAGAUUCCCCCAGUAGCGGCGAGCGAACGGGGAGCAGCCCAGAGCCUGAAUCAGUGUGUGUGUUAGUGGAAGCGUCUGGAAAGGCGUGCGAUACAGGGUGACAGCCCCGUACACAAAAAUGCACAUACUGUGAGCUCGAUGAGUAGGGCGGGACACGUGGUAUCCUGUCUGAAUAUGGGGGGACCAUCCUCCAAGGCUAAAUACUCCUGACUGACCGAUAGUGAACCAGUACCGUGAGGGAAAGGCGAAAAGAACCCCGGCGAGGGGAGUGAAAAAGAACCUGAAACCGUGUACGUACAAGCAGUGGGAGCACGCUUAGGCGUGUGACUGCGUACCUUUUGUAUAAUGGGUCAGCGACUUAUAUUCUGUAGCAAGGUUAACCGAAUAGGGGAGCCGAAGGGAAACCGAGUCUUAACUGGGCGUUAAGUUGCAGGGUAUAGACCCGAAACCCGGUGAUCUAGCCAUGGGCAGGUUGAAGGUUGGGUAACACUAACUGGAGGACCGAACCGACUAAUGUUGAAAAAUUAGCGGAUGACUUGUGGCUGGGGGUGAAAGGCCAAUCAAACCGGGAGAUAGCUGGUUCUCCCCGAAAGCUAUUUAGGUAGCGCCUCGUGAAUUCAUCUCCGGGGUAGAGCACUGUUUCGGCAAGGGGGUCAUCCCGACUUACCAACCCGAUGCAAACUGCGAAUACCGGAGAAUGUUAUUACGGGAGACACACGGCGGGUGCUAACGUCCGUCGUGAAGAGGGAAACAACCCAGACCGCCAGCUAAGGUCCCAAAGUCAUGGUUAAGUGGGAAACGAUGUGGGAAGGCCCAGACAGCCAGGAUGUUGGCUUAGAAGCAGCCAUCAUUUAAAGAAAGCGUAAUAGCUCACUGGUCGAGUCGGCCUGCGCGGAAGAUGUAACGGGGCUAAACCAUGCACCGAAGCUGCGGCAGCGACGCUUAUGCGUUGUUGGGUAGGGGAGCGUUCUGUAAGCCUGUGAAGGUGUGCUGUGAGGUAUGCUGGAGGUAUCAGAAGUGCGAAUGCUGACAUAAGUAACGAUAAAGCGGGUGAAAAGCCCGCUCGCCGGAAGACCAAGGGUUCCUGUCCAACGUUAAUCGGGGCAGGGUGAGUCGACCCCUAAGGCGAGGCCGAAAGGCGUAGUCGAUGGGAAACAGGUUAAUAUUCCUGUACUUGGUGUUACUGCGAAGGGGGGACGGAGAAGGCUAUGUUGGCCGGGCGACGGUUGUCCCGGUUUAAGCGUGUAGGCUGGUUUUCCAGGCAAAUCCGGAAAAUCAAGGCCGAGGCGUGAUGACGAGGCACUACGGUGCUGAAGCAACAAAUGCCCUGCUUCCAGGAAAAGCCUCUAAGCAUCAGGUAACAUCAAAUCGUACCCCAAACCGACACAGGUGGUCAGGUAGAGAAUACCAAGGCGCUUGAGAGAACUCGGGUGAAGGAACUAGGCAAAAUGGUGCCGUAACUUCGGGAGAAGGCACGCUGAUACGUAGGUGAAGCGACUUGCUCGUGGAGCUGAAAUCAGUCGAAGAUACCAGCUGGCUGCAACUGUUUAUUAAAAACACAGCACUGUGCAAACACGAAAGUGGACGUAUACGGUGUGACGCCUGCCCGGUGCCGGAAGGUUAAUUGAUGGGGUUAGCGCAAGCGAAGCUCUUGAUCGAAGCCCCGGUAAACGGCGGCCGUAACUAUAACGGUCCUAAGGUAGCGAAAUUCCUUGUCGGGUAAGUUCCGACCUGCACGAAUGGCGUAAUGAUGGCCAGGCUGUCUCCACCCGAGACUCAGUGAAAUUGAACUCGCUGUGAAGAUGCAGUGUACCCGCGGCAAGACGGAAAGACCCCGUGAACCUUUACUAUAGCUUGACACUGAACAUUGAGCCUUGAUGUGUAGGAUAGGUGGGAGGCUUUGAAGUGUGGACGCCAGUCUGCAUGGAGCCGACCUUGAAAUACCACCCUUUAAUGUUUGAUGUUCUAACGUGGACCCGUGAUCCGGGUUGCGGACAGUGUCUGGUGGGUAGUUUGACUGGGGCGGUCUCCUCCUAAAGAGUAACGGAGGAGCACGAAGGUUGGCUAAUCCUGGUCGGACAUCAGGAGGUUAGUGCAAUGGCAUAAGCCAGCUUGACUGCGAGCGUGACGGCGCGAGCAGGUGCGAAAGCAGGUCAUAGUGAUCCGGUGGUUCUGAAUGGAAGGGCCAUCGCUCAACGGAUAAAAGGUACUCCGGGGAUAACAGGCUGAUACCGCCCAAGAGUUCAUAUCGACGGCGGUGUUUGGCACCUCGAUGUCGGCUCAUCACAUCCUGGGGCUGAAGUAGGUCCCAAGGGUAUGGCUGUUCGCCAUUUAAAGUGGUACGCGAGCUGGGUUUAGAACGUCGUGAGACAGUUCGGUCCCUAUCUGCCGUGGGCGCUGGAGAACUGAGGGGGCUGCUCCUAGUACGAGAGGACCGGAGUGGACGCAUCACUGGUGUUCGGGUUGUCAUGCCAAUGGCACUGCCCGGUAGCUAAAUGCGGAAGAGAUAAGUGCUGAAAGCAUCUAAGCACGAAACUUGCCCCGAGAUGAGUUCUCCCUGACCCUUUAAGGGUCCUGAAGGAACGUUGAAGACGACGACGUUGAUAGGCCGGGUGUGUAAGCGCAGCGAUGCGUUGAGCUAACCGGUACUAAUGAACCGUGAGGCUUAACCUUACAACGCCGAAG